rnacentral:rRNA from 1 species
GCAUAUCAAUAAGCGGAGGAAAAGAAACUAACAAGGAUUCCCCUAGUAACGGCGAGUGAAGCGGGAAGAGCUCAAAUUUGAAAGCUGGUACCUUCGGUGCCCGCGUUGUAAUCUCGAGACGCGUUUUCCGCGCGGCGCUAUGGACAAGUUCCUUGGAACAGGACAUCGUAGAGGGUGAAAAUCCCGUACUUGCCAUGGAUGCACCGUGCUUUGUGAUACGUGCUCAAAGAGUCGAGUUGUUUGGGAUUGCAGCUCAAAAUGGGUGGUAGACUCCAUCUAAAGCUAAAUAUCGGGGAGAGACCGAUAGCGAACAAGUACCGUGAGGGAAAGAUGAAAAGCACUUUGGAAAGAGAGUUAAAAGUACGUGAAAUUGUCGAAAGGGAAGCGCUUGAAGUCAGCCAUGCCGCUCAGGACUCAGCCUGGCUUUUGCUUGGUGUAUUUCCUGGGUAGCAAGUCAGCAUUGGUUUGGACCGUCGGAGAAGCAUGGCAGGAAUGUGACGCCCUCGGGCGUGUUAUAGCCUGCCAUUGGAUACGCCGGUCUAGACCAAGGAACGCAGUGCGCCUUACGGCGGGUCU